UGCGGAAGGAUCAUUAUCGUAUAACCGAGGUACUAGGGCUGUCGCUGACCCUUCGAAGGGUCGUGCACGCCCAAGUGCUCUCUCGCAUCCAUCCCACCCCUUUGUGCAUCACCGCGUGGGCCACCUCUUUCUUAAGAGGUUGGUUCGCGUUUUUACACACACACACACAUUUAUGUAUAGAAUGUCUUACUUUUUGCGGUGAUACGCAAUAAAUUAAUACAACUUUCAACAACGGAUCUCUUGGCUCUCGCAUCGAUGAAGAACGCAGCGAAAUGCGAUACGUAAUGUGAAUUGCAGAAUUCAGUGAAUCAUCGAAUCUUUGAACGCACCUUGCGCCCCUUGGUAUUCCGAGGGGCACACCCGUUUGAGUGUCGUGAACACACCCUCAACCUUCUUUUGGUUUUCUUGACCGGAGGAAGGCUUGGACUUUGGAGGUCUUUCAUUGCUGGUAUCCUUUCGGAGCCAGCUCCUCCUAAAUGAAUUAGUGGGAUUCGCUUUGGUGAUCCUCGACGUGAUAAGCAUUAUUCUACGUCUCGGGUUUUCGAAGUGCCUUGCUUCUAACCGUCUUUAAACAAAGACAAUGACCACAAAACCUUGACCUCAAAUCGGGUGAGACUACCCGCUGAACUUAAGCAUAUCAUA
rnacentral:rRNA from 1 species